UACGUAGGGGGCAAGCGUUGUCCGGAAUCAUUGGGCGUAAAGCGCGUGUAGGCGGCUUGGUAAGUCCGCUCUGAAAGCCCGGGGCUCAACCCCGGGAGGCGGGUGGAUACUGUCAAGCUCGAGUCCGGAAGAGGCGAGUGGAAUUCCCGGUGUAGCGGUGAAAUGCGUAGAGAUUUGGAGGAACACCAGUGGCGAAGGCAACUUUCUGGUCUGUAACUGACGCUGAGGCGCGAAAGCGUGGGGAGCAAACAGG
rnacentral:rRNA from 1 species